ensembl:lncRNA
UCCCACACUGAAGUUCCCCAGUCUCGGGCCCUGCCUGUGAGGAGGGUUAAAACAUAAGCCACCUUAGUCUCCUCCUGGGCGUAACGGCGGGGCUGAAGGGCAAAAACUAGAGAGCACUGAGACAGGAAGGCUCUGCAAGAGUUGGGGUUCCCAUCAUAGGGAGGUGGAUUGUUGGCAUGAGGCUCAGGGUCAUGAUGGGGAGAGGAAAGGCUGGUGGUGUCCUCCGUUCUGGCAGAUGUCUGUCUGCGAAGUUCCUGGAGCUGUGCAGUCAGCAUGUUCAACUGAGCAUUAAGGGACUCAACCUCCCGGGAUGUGGAUGUCAGCUGGGAGGCAUGCUGGCCCAAGAGAAUGCCCUGCUGGGUGACUGCUGAUCUGAGUGGAUCUGCACCUGCUGAGUCCAUGAUGGUCAGAUCGUUCUGUCAGUACGAGACUUGGACUCAGUUGCAGGUGCCCAAAAGGUCAGUUUAUUUAACAGGCUUGAAUUUCAAAAAAAAAGGAAAAAGAGUAAACAAAAAACUAUCCAGGUACAGGGCAGCCCGGAGCAGCUCACGAAGUGCCUCCUGGACGAAUUCCACUAAGAAAAAUCCACAGCAAGGCCGAGAUAAACUGACAGAGAGGCGGGGGCGCUGUUGAGGCGGGGAACUGGUGGCGCACCGGCAGCGAGGCGAAGAAGAGCACUGCCGGCGAUCGGUGAUCGCGAGCAAGGGAAGGGUAGGAGAAUUAGCGCUGCCUGAAAGCAGGAGGAAGAGGGAGAAAACAAAACUAAAGGAUGAAAACAAAACUAGCACGAUCUCUGUGCAGGCAAAACAUGAGCUGUGGCUGGAGCUGAGACAUAAACGAGCACAACACGCCGAUCUGACAACAGACAGCACACGAGAGGAGACUAAAUAGAGAAGGAGUGAUUAACAUAAUGCAGAGCAGGUGAUAGUGGCCAAUAACAAAAUAAUAAUGAAACAAGAGGGCGGAGACGGGCACCACGAUGACACAGAAGCACAUGAGAGCAGUGUGUGACCGCCAGCCCCACCGCACACGGGAGAGCACAACGGACCCACACUGCCACAGCACACAAGAGCACAGAGGAAGCUGAGCACCCCGCACCGAAACACCUCAUCUCACCGCCUUCUACCACCAUAUUUAUUAAUAAAAUCCGCCCUUCGGGGAACUCACCUGUACUUACUCGUC